rnacentral:lncRNA from 1 species
AUGGGAUCGGGAUGGGGAACAUCCCGGGAAACGCAAAUCCCGCGGUUUAGGGGCUCGCGUUCUUUCUACGCCGUUUAUUUCCCGUUUAUUUGCCGUUUUUGUCACAUUUUUAUCUCGUUUUUAUCCCAUUUUUAUCUCAUUUUUAUCUCGUUUUUAUCCUGUUUUUAUAUCCCAUUUAUAUCCCAUUUAUCCCAUUUUUAUCCAAUUUUUAUCCCGCUUAUCCCAUUUAUAUCCCACUUAUCCUCUUUUUAUCCAAUAUAUCCCAUUUUUAUCCCGUUUUAUCUCAUUUUUAUCCCACUUAUCCCAUUUUUAUCCCAUAUUUAUCCCACUUAUCCCAUUUUUAUCCUGUUUUUAUCCAUUUUUGUCCAAUUUUUAUUCCAUUUAUCCCAUUUAUAUCCCAUUUACCCCAUUUUUACCCCAUUUUUCCCAUUUUCCCCCCAUUUUUCCCAUUUUUACCGCAUUUAUCCCGUUUUUAUCCCAUUUAUCCCAUUUUUAUCCCGUUUUUACCCCAUUUAUCCCAUUUUCACCCCAUUUAUCCCAUUUUCACCCCUUUUUUCCCAUUUCCACCCCGUUUUUAUCCCAUUUUCCCCUCAUUUUUAUCCUGUUUUUACCCCAUUUUUUUCCCAUUUCCUCCCCAUUUUUUCACAUUUCCACCCCAUUUUUCUCAUUUUCCCCCCAUUUUUCCCAUUUCCCUCCAUUUUUCCCAUUUCCACCCCGUUUUUCCCAUUUCCCCCCAUUUUUCCCACUUCCACCCCGUUUUUAUCCCAUUUCCACCCCGUUUUCCCAUUUUCACCCCAUUUUUUUCCCAUUUUCACCCCGUUUAUCCCAUUUCCACCCUGUUUUUCCCAUUUUUACCCCAUUUUCCCCAUUUUCACCCCAUUUAUCCCAUUUUCACCCCAUUUUUUUCCUGUUUUCACCCCAUUUAUCCCAUUUCCACCCCAUUUAUCCCAUUUCCACCCCGUUUUUCCCGUUUCCCCCCAUUUUUCCCAUUUCCCCCCAUUUUUCCCGUUUCCGCCCCGUUUUUCCCAUUUCCCCCCCGUUUUUCCUGUUUCCCCCCCGUUUUUCCCCCGUUUCCCCCCGUUUUUCCCGUUUCCCCCCGUUUCCACCCCGUUUUUCCCGUUUCCCCCCCGUUUUUCCCGUUUCCCCCCCGUUUUUCCGGCACUCGGAGCCCCGGGGUGCCCGGGGUGCCCCCGGUGUCCGGCUGAUCCCGGAGAGGGACGGGAAGGGCAGGGACGGGAAAUCCGUAAAUCGGAUAAAACCGGGAUUAGGGAUCCCUGCUGGGGGAGAGGAACGGAGGAGGAGCCGGAACCGGAUCGGAACCGGGCGGGAUCGGAUCGGAACCGGUCGGGAUCGGAUCGGAACCGGGCGGGAUCGGAUCGGAACCGGGUGGGAUUGGAUCGGAACCGGGCGGGAUUGGAUCUGAUCCGGGUGGGAUUGGAUCGGAACCGGGCGGGAUUGGAUCAGAACCGGGCGGGAUUGGAUCGGUUCCGGGUGGGAUUGGAUCGGAACCGGGUGGGAUUGGAUCGGAACCGGGUGGGAUUGGAUCGGAACCGGGUGGAAUUGGAUUGGAUCCGGGUGGGAUUGGAUCAGAAUGGGUUGGGUUGGAUCAGAACUGGGUGGGAUUGGAUCAGAACUGGGUGGGAUUGGAUCGGAACCGGGUGGGAUUGGAUCGGAACCGGGCGGGAUCGGAUCGGAACCGGGCGGGAUCGGAUCAGAACCGGGCGGGAU